rnacentral:rRNA from 1 species
CUGAUGGCGACCGGCGCACGGGUGCGUAACGCGUAUGCAACCUACCUGUAACAGGGGGAUAACACUGAGAAAUCGGUACUAAUACCGCAUAACACUAUGAGAGGCAUCUCUUGUGGUUGAAAGUUUCGGCGGUUACAGAUGGGCAUGCGUUGUAUUAGCUGGUUGGUAAGGUAACGGCUUACCAAGGCGACGAUACAUAGGGGGACUGAGAGGUUAACCCCCCACAUUGGUACUGAGACACGGACCAAACUCCUACGGGAGGCAGCAG